UUAGUGGCGGACGGGUGAGUAACACGUGGGAACGUGCCUUUAGGUUCGGAAUAACUCAGGGAAACUUGUGCUAAUACCGAAUGUGCCCUUCGGGGGAAAGAUUUAUCGCCUUUAGAGCGGCCCGCGUCUGAUUAGCUAGUUGGUGAGGUAAAGGCUCACCAAGGCGACGAUCAGUAGCUGGUCUGAGAGGAUGAUCAGCCACAUUGGGACUGAGACACGGCCCAAACUCCUACGGGAGGCAGCAGUGGGGAAUCUUGCGCAAUGGGCGAAAGCCUGACGCAGCCAUGCCGCGUGAAUGAUGAAGGUCUUAGGAUUGUAAAAUUCUUUCAGUAGGGACGAUAAUGACGGUACCUACAGAAGAAGCCCCGGCUAACUUCGUGCCAGCAGCCGCGGUAAUACGAAGGGGGCUAGCGUUGCUCGGAAUUACUGGGCGUAAAGGGAGCGUAGGCGGACAUUUAAGUCAGGGGUGAAAUCCCGGGGCUCAACCUCGGAAUUGCCUUUGAUACUGGGUGUCUUGAGUGUGAGAGAGGUAUGUGGAACUCCGAGUGUAGAGGUGAAAUUCGUAGAUAUUCGGAAGAACACCAGUGGCGAAGGCGACAUACUGGCUCAUUACUGACGCUGAGGCUCGAAAGCGUGGGGAGCAAACAGGAUUAGAUACCCUGGUAGUCCACGCCGUAAACGAUGAUUGCUAGUUGUCGGGAUGCAUGCAUUUCGGUGACGCAGCUAACGCAUUAAGCAAUCCGCCUGGGGAGUACGGUCGCAAGAUU
rnacentral:rRNA from 1 species